rnacentral:rRNA from 1 species
AUUGAACGCUGGCGGCAGGCCUAACACAUGCAAGUCGAGCGAGCGGCGGACGGGUGAGUAAUGUAUGGGGACUGCCCGAUAGAGGGGGAUAACUACUGGAAAAGGUGGCUAAUACCGCAUACUAUCGGAUAACCCAUAUGGGAUUAGCUAGUAGGUGGGGUAAAGGCUCACCUAGGCGACGAUCUCUAGCUGGGCUGAGAGGAUGAUCAACCACACUGAGACUGCGACACGGCCCAGACUCCGACGGAGGCAGCAGUGGGGAAGAGUGCACAAUGGGCGAAAGCCUGAUGCAGCCAUGCCGCGUGUAUGAAGAAGGCCUUCGGGUUGUAAAGUACUUUCAGUCGGGAGGCGUUACCGACAGAAGAAGCACCGGCUAACUCCGUGCCAGCAGCCGCGGUAAUAC